GACGAACGCUGGCGGCGUGCUUAACACAUGCAAGUCGAACGGAAAGGCCUCUUUCGGGGGGUACUCGAGUGGCGAACGGGUGAGUAACACGUGAGUAACCUGCCCUUGACUUUGGGAUAACUUCAGGAAACUGGGGCUAAUACCGGAUAGGAGCUCCUGUUGCAUGGUGGGGGUUGGAAAGUUUCGGCGGUUGGGAAUGGACUCGCGGCUUAUCAGCUUGUUGGUGGGGUAGUGGCUUACCAAGGCUUUGACGGGUAGCCGGCCUGAGAGGGUGACCGGCCACAUUGGGACUGAGAUACGGCCCAGACUCCUACGGGAGGCAGCAGUGGGGAAUAUUGCACAAUGGGUGGAAGCCUGAUGCAGCAACGCCGUGUGCGGGAUGACGGCCUUCGGGUUGUAAACCGCUUUCGCUCAUGACGAAGCUUUGUGUGACGGUAGUGGGUAAAGAAGCACCGGCUAACUACGUG
rnacentral:rRNA from 1 species